UCCCCCCGAGUUGGUAGAAUUAGAAACUGCUGGAGUUUGAACUCUGCACUGUGUUGUCCUGUGAAGGUCCUGAUGUGCCUGCAAUUGUCUUCUUUGUUAGGUUGUUCAAGAGGAUGCUUUGAGAAGAAACAGAAUAAGAGGUGGAUCGAGUGCUUAUAGUUUUUCUUCAGGAAGACUCACUGGCUCCAAACAGUCACACACACACACAACCCACAUUGCAGUGCCUCACUUUUAUUUGCUUGUCAGAUGCUUAUGACACGCUCAAUACAUAUUUGCUGAAAUUAACCUAAUGUUUUUAAAGAAUGUUCCAAAUAACUUUUUUUGGGGACAGAGUCUCACUCUGUCACCCAGGCUGGCAUGUAGUGGCAAAAUAUCGGCUUGCUACAGCCUCUGCCUCCUGGUUCCAUGUAAUUAUCCUGCCUCAGCCUCCUGAGUAGGUGGAACUACAGAUGCACACCACCACACCCUGAUAAUUUUUGUAUUUUUUAGUAGAGAUGGGGUUUCAUCAUAUUGGCCAGGCUCAUGAUCCACCCACCUCGA
rnacentral:lncRNA from 1 species